rnacentral:tRNA from 1 species
GUCUCUGUGGUGCAUUAGUUCAGCGCAUUCGGCUGUGAAUUGGACAGUUGGUGGUUCAAGUCCAUCCAGGGACG